GAUGGAGACAGACAGACGACAGGAGACAGAUAGACCUUUGCUGACUAGCCAGAAUAGUCUACUUGGCAAGUCCCAGGCUGGCAGGAGACUCUCAGAAAAAUAAGGUGGGUGGUGACUGAGGAACAACAUCCAAGGCUAACUUGUUUUCAUUAACCAGCAUGCACUAGUGUACCCAUACAUGCAUACACACAUGCAUACACACACACACAUGCACAUAUGUACACACCCGUGCACAUGAAUGCACACACCCACAAUGAGAGAAGUAUAAGAAGCUGCUGUCUAUCAAUAAACUAACAACUUGAUAAAUAAUUCUGCAUAUUAAAUUGUGACAUUUAUUAUAUGAAAGUCUUCCCACUGCAGGCCAGCUAGGGAAGCAGGUAGGCUAAGUGCAGAUCUUCACCUCUUCCUCUGCUUCUCCAAAUCCAGUCCCCCAGUCUCACUCCCAGCUCUGCAGGAUACCAUCUGCUGAAGUCUCCCCUCCCACUUCUCCUCAUCUCCAGUAGACCAUACAGACCUUCAUCUCCUAACUUCCCUCCUACUACUCAUUGUUUUAUCCCUGCCCCCAAUGUGGGCGAACAAUCCUUGGGAACCUGCAGCCCACUCUAGGCAGGGAAGCAGGUAGGAUAACUGCAGAUCUUCAAUCAUCUUUUCUUCUGCUGUGGCUUCUCCUCACUCUCUGCUCCCAUUCCCAGGGGAUUAAGCAUAUCCUGGUGGAAUGCAUUGCUUUCUUCCCUCCUUUGGACUUCUCAGCCUCCACACCUAUCCCAUCCCCACUUCUAAAUGUCAGCUCCCAAUACUUUGAAAAACAUUUUACUAGAAAUCCCCGUGGCCACACCUAUCAGGAUUCCAAAAGAAUUUCCUACCAGGCAAUAUACAACUACCAUACCCUUCUAAGAAGCGGGUAGGAAACAGAAACCCAGGAACAAAACACCCACCCAACAAAAACAGGACCUGAUAUGAGCACCUAGAAUGACAGUCUACCCAAUCUCAGAUGCCUAGAUGCCAGAGUGAAAUCACAAUCAACAGCCAGGAUAAUAUAUCUCCACUAGAGUCCAGCAACCCUACCACAGCAGUCCCUGGGCACUGCAACACAGCUGAAGCACAAGAAAAACAUCUUAAAAUAGCCUUUAUGAAUAUGAUAGAGGUCCUUGUACUGACUAGUUUUGCGUCAACUUGACACAGCUGGAGUUAUCACAGAGAAAGGAGCUUCAGUUGAGGAAAUGCCUCCAUGAGAUUCAACUUAAGGCAUUUUCUCAAUUAGUGAUCAAGGGGGAAAGACCCCUUGUGGGUGGGACCAUCUCUGGGCUGGUAGUCUUGGUUCUAUAAGAGAGCAGGCUGAGCAAGCCAGGGAAAGCAAGCCAGUAAAGAACAUCCCUCCAUGGCUUCUGCAUCAGCUCCUGCUUUCUGACUUGCUUGAGUUCCAGUCCUGACUUCCUUGGUGAUGAACAGCAGUAUGGAAAUGUAAGCCGAAUAAACCCUUUCCUCCCCAACUUGUUUCUUGGUCAUGAUGCUUGUGCAGGAAUAUAAACCCUGACUAAGACAGUCCUUAAGGAGGAAAUGAAUAAAUUCCUUAAAUAAACUUCUGAAAACAACAUGGGAAGAAAAUGAAAAACAAAACAAAACAAAACAAACAAACAAACAAGCAAACCAGUUCAUGACUUGAAAGUAGAAAUAAAUAAAGAAAACAUAAGCUGAGGUAAAACUGGAAAUGAAAAUCUAGCAACUCCAACUGGAACCUUAGAGACAAACAUUACGGACAGAAUACAAGAGAUGGAGAGAGAACCUCAGGCACUGAAGGCAUGGCAGAAGACACGAAUACCUUGGUCAAAAAAAAAAUAUUAAUCUAAAAGAAUCUGGGCAUAAAACAUUCAGGAAAUCUUAGACACUGUGAAAAGAUCAAAUCUAAGAAUAAUAGC
rnacentral:lncRNA from 1 species